rnacentral:lncRNA from 1 species
CAGAAAAGGAAGUUUCCGAAUUGGAUGGUUCUAAAUCUGUCAAACUGCCUCUUAUGAGUUUAAGAAAGCUGGACAACAAAAUUGACAGCACAAAAAGCAGUCAGAUGGAAAGAGAGGAAGGUACCCAUACUAGUAGUGUGAAUGCUGGAGCUCCUGUGGACCAAGAGAUAGAAAAGCUGGAAUCUGCUUCAUCUGAUGGGGCCGAAACUGCAAACCUAGCUGCAUCUUAUGACAAUAAGGACCAGCCCACUAUUCCUGGGACCUCUUCGGAAGAUACAGGCACUGUUCCGAAGAAUGAUUUAGAAAGUGCUGCCAUCCCAGAGGCAGAGGAAUGUAAUUUAAUUGUACAAUGUAAUGCAGAAUCAGAAGAUCUAAUAUCUUAUGAAAAUCAGUGCCAGGACUUUAUGCCAAAUGAGCAGAAGAAAAGUAAAGACUGUGACCCAAGCACUGUCAAUGGUACCUGCAACAUGUCAGCAUCAACAAUUGUCCAAGGAGACAUCUUCACUGCUGAAGUACAAAGAGAUGAUCUUCGUAUGUUGUCUGGUGGAAACCAAGAGAAAUCCACUCACAAUAAUCUUGUGCAUGAAAUUAAGUCUCAGGAUGACACAUGUAUGAUGCUGGAUGCUUUGGGAAGUAGAAAAUGCCUGGAAAUAUUAGGAAAUCUUCAAGACCCACAGCAGGGAAAAGAAGCAACAAUACAUGGGUUAAUAGAUCACUUUAAAAAUGAACUCAGCCAUGAUGAUCAUUCCCAGGCUGACUUUAAACAUGAACUCAGCAGUGUGACUAAGGGGGAUGUAAAGGAAGAAAGUGACACCAUGUUCAGCACAGCAGAGGCAGAAGCUUCUCUAUGUGGCAAUGAACAACUUGGAGACACCCCUAAAACAGGUAUUACAAGGACAGUAUUAAUUAGUGAAGGUGAAGCAGCUUUGCAAGCAAGCAUUCAAGAUCAAGGGACAGAAACAAAAAAGCAUUACUCAGAAACUAUUACAGGGAUGGAGCCAGAAGAGGAU